GACAAACAGGAAGCGCCUGACUUACACCUGCACUUACUGCUGGCUAACCCGAUCAACACUCUACUUGAUUCUAGGAGAUACGGCAGCGACGGCGGUCCGGGCACGCUGCCAGGCGAUGGCGGGAAACGAUUUCCACAAGCAAAACAAAGAAACAUGGCGGCUGUGCACAAUGACAAAGUGUAGCCUCUGCAGGUGACGACGCGUUGUCAUCCGGCAUGCCUCCAGGGCUGUUAUGGAUACAAGUGCUCCAGGAAAGGGCGAAGACACCUGGCAGCGCUUGGCACGCAAGCCCACCGAUUCACGAGUCGCCCAACCCUCACGUCCCGCCGGAGCGGCUCGCUCUAUGCAGAUGCAGCGGACACCACGCACGCGAUCUUGGCUAGAUUACAAAACAAUUUUACGCAAAUGCCAAGAAAAGCCUACUAGAACAACAAAACUAUCAUCACAGACUCAAGAUGGCCGACAGGUGUGCUGCAUGGAUGAAAGAGAAUAUGUUUAAAAAGCGAGACAGAUGUUUGUGGCAUUACAGCUGCUGAUGUUGCCAAAUUGAUCGAACAAAGAUUUAUUUGACAGCUUCGGCAGUUGAAAGCACUUCCUUGCCGCUGUGCGUUGUUGACACGAACAAUAUGGCUGUGAACAGAGGCGAGCUACUGAGAGAUCAGGAAAAGCCACCUCUGGUGAGCAGAAAAAGUCCAUGGCUCUUGAGACACAAUAUGGAUGAAAUCUUUUUGAGAUUGAGGGGCCACAAGCAGCUGAUGAUUCUGAACUGAUGUGUAAUUGACAUUUCUGCUUGAUAGCACUUGUGUCAAGAUGGAGGCUAGCACGAGUCUUAAAGUGGCCGCCGACGGGGUGCUUAGCAACCUCUCUGAUAGCCCAAUGAGCCGACGGGACGGUGGCGAGGGAGCGAGCUUCCUCUCUGCAGUAAAACACGCGCCACUGCUGCCUCUUGUUAAAUGUUUUCCAUGCCUUAUAUGUCCAUGUUUGCGCAGACGCGACAUAGUGGACGCACCUUGUUGCUUGAGAGCUGCAAAUCUUGGAACGAUGUAUGAAGACAUCCUUCGAUUUUUCAUUAAGGGUUAGCCAAUGUGAUUAGAAGGAAGCCCCAAGGGUCAGGCGGUGAGUCGGGAUGGGUGCUGGGGCGGCAUCCAAGAAUCUCAUCUCCUUAGCUUAAAGGACCAAAGUCAAAGGUGGCCACUAGCACGCUGUAGUGUAUGUAAGAAGCAGAACAAGAGUGUGAUCCAUUCUAUUGUUGCUUUCUGUUAGCCCAUGGCCAUUCGUGUUAAAUAAUGAACUGCUAAGUCCACAAAAUCAAGAAAUGCAGCUAGAGUGUAAGCAAGCUGUAGCUGGCUUUAGCAUCCGUCUAAGUAAACAAAUAUCACGUUCAUACCAUACCGUGAGUUAAUAAUUCAUAAGAUGGCACCUAGAUAUUAACACGUACUUUGCGAGACAUUUUGACAGUCCUUAAUAGAGAAUCAAUUGAGGUCUUUGGUCUGAGCCUGCCAAGCGGUAGCACAUUCAAAAGGAGUUGGGUUAUUGAUCGGUAUAUCCUUAGAACUCAGUAGCCUUCUCUACCUGGAGCAACCUUGCCUUUAAACCAAAAAAUAGAGAUGGGGACGGGACAACAGAUGGACUUGUUUGUUUUGACCGACGAGUACAGAUGCACGUGCGACUGCACAGAACCACCAUGCCAACCUUAACUUUUCAUUUUUAUUUACAAACUUUAUUGUAGCUAUCAAGUAUGUUUCAUAGCAAACUGCUCAAAGUAACCUCAAAUGGCCAAAGCACAAUGGCAAUGCUUUUUACAGAUUAGAAACAUGCUUCUUCUUCCAAGUGUGAGCCCGUUGGGACAGGAAACCGCAGGGUGCUUAUCUUUUCGUCUUAAGGCUUCCUUGCCUCGUAUAUUUUUUUUGUCAGUAUUGCUCAGCAGCCUCUUGAGAGGCUUCUUCCACGCUGUGGCCGCGUUCCAACAGCCACAGGAAGUUCCCAUGAACGUUCCCAACGCCUGCCCGGAGUCUCACGUGAACCACCACAGAGACCGCAAGGGAGGUCCUUGUUACAUGCUAACGGCUAAUGCUAGUGUAAUGCUUGAUGGCAAAUGACAAUACGGCCUUCCAGGUUACAGAGACUGAUUAAUACAAUUCUGAUCUACAGGACAUGUACUUUACUUAUCUUGGAUUUCAGAUACCUCAUCCCACAAGUUUUAUAGGUUCUAUUCUAUUGACUAGUUAAUAUAAAACGAGUGCUUUGGUUCUACUGAGGUUGGGGGAAAAGAGAGCUCUCCGAUGCGUUCACGUGAUUUUGUGUGCGACUGUAUAUCAGACUUAUUCACCGUUCUGCUUUGACUUGGGUAAUCCUUCACAAUAAGAGAAUCUGACAUGAAUCAAUGUGGGUUUUUUUUUUAAACUCGGGCUCCGUUUAUAAUUGCAGGCUCUCUUUCCCUCUCUCCCUCUCGAGUCUCUGCUGUCGGAAUGUAAGGAUGCAAAAUAACACACGGCCGUUAAAAAUAACCCGCCAAUAUGUUUGGAGCGUCGCAAGGAUUCCAGCGUACAUUCCGCAUGUACGGGGAAAGGGAGGCCCUGUUGGUGGGGGUGUCAAAGAGGAGUGUCUAUUUACGUCCCACCUAAAAGGAGACAUAGCGAUGCAAGUUUUCAUUGCCGCCCUUUAGAGAAGACUUUCUCUAAGAAUCCGCAGGGAAUUCCUGUACAUUUUGUGAGGUCGGAAAGAGUUCAAUCUUUGUUGACUUCACUUUCGGUCCCUUUUUGACCCAGCGAGUUAGCAUACUGUUUAUAUCCCUUCUGGCACGAGAGGCAAAUAUUUGCCCGAUAGCUUUGGAUUGCAGUGAUAGGCUAUGAAGCUAGCCUUACUCACUCCACAUACUAAGAUUUCUCUGCAUAUUCUGAUGGAAAUUUAAAUUACCGCUGAGUCACAAUGGUUUAAUAGCAUCAGGACUAAAAAAGCCAAUUUCAUCUGCUGGGCUUUUGAAUGUUUCUGCGUGUGCAUGCACACACACCUCUAUUAAACACACACGCGCUGAGGACGGCAUGUAGCUCCCGGUGUUGUUUGCACAGCACGGUAACAGAGAGGUUGUAAAAUAUUACACCCAAAGCAAAGUGCAAGCGGCACACAAACACGCAGAAAUACAAUGGCAAAACACACACACAGUUCUCAGUUUUAUCAGUACAGUCACUCCCUCCAGUGUCACAAAUGGCGAACCACGCCUGCGCAUUUAGUUUUGUGCCUGCUCAUCUAUUGAUUUUAAAAGCAUUAGUAUGCUGCAACUCUCCGCAAACCCUGCCCCACGCUCAGGGCGGUGGCGGCGACUCAAUCACGGCGUGGAUAGGACCCCGAUAGGGCGGCGUGAACCGGUGUGCGGCCGGGGCCGAUUGCGGCGUCUCCAUUCGAAGCGAAGUGGCGAGUCAUCGUAAAGCUGCUGAUAGAUGCGUGUGAGUGUGUAUGUGUAUACAUGUUGGCCUUGACCAUGAGGUGACACUCAUGUCAGAUUAAGAUGACAAAUGUGAAAGAGUGUGUUCCUACACUAGUGAUAAACAUGCAAUUUUUAUAGUCAAUUUGCAGUAGCCAAAAUACAUGGAUAAGGUGUGACGUUAAGUUCGUCAAUGCUCACAAUGGUGGGGGCGACAACUCCAAAUUUGUUUUCCUGUUUUUAUUUCAUCUACUGGUGUUUCACGCAUAACAUACUAUUAGGCUUUUUGGGGUUUUGCAUUCCAGUCCAGAAACUCACACAAAAGUAAUAACACUUACAUGUUAUUUACUAUCAUGCAAUGACCUCCUACGC